CAUAUGAUUAAGGAUCUUCAGACAAUUCAAAAUACAGUAGAUGUGACACAUCACAUAACAAUAUGCCUGAGGUACAAUAGGUUAUUUUGCAGAUAGAAGGGUGGAUACCGAGAUAAACUGACAGUGUCUUUUAUCCCCGUUGUAACAUGAGGCCUGAUAGGGUCCUCAAUAUAUGUAAAUUAUACAGUUUGCCUCUGAGGGCUGCGAUGUUCGAUCCGCAAAUAAGAAUAAAAUGCUGUUUCCGCUCAUAUUAAUGCAAUAGAUAAUCAAAUCAUGCCAUGCACCACUUUCACCACAUUUCUGCCGCAAUGUAGCAUUCAGCGGUUUCACCCAGCAAAAAACGAUGAAAAAUAAUUAUGGUUGCAAUCAAGUUACUACGAAAACCUAUUUGAUUAGCGGCCACACUUUACUCAAAUUGCAGCUAUAAAAUUAAGAACAAUUCGCCUGUAAUGAUUAUGGACUGGAUUUAUUUUGGGAGGGUGGAAUAAAAGUGGAUAUAGCAUAAAUUAUCCCCUAAUUAUACGCCAGUGUCGCCUCAAUUAUCCUCUUAUCAAAAAUGGUUGUCUAAAUGCAGCGUUUAGUUUCAAUUUUCUCCUUUUCUGUAACAAGAACUUGGUACCUUGCUAUUAUCGUCAGCUAUGGUUGUUAUUUACUUUGUGGGAUUUAAAAGUGCACAACCCAGCCGGAUAAUCAUUUUACAGCAGCGGACCAAGAGAGGAGCACAGAGGCAGGGAUGUGAGCCGCAACUCAUCCAGACGGAUUGGUUUUAUCCUUCCAGACUCUCCUUAAUUUAAAUUUUUUGUAAAAAAAAAAAAUAAUAAUAAUAAUAAUAAUCAUGCUUUGUCGUCAGGAGGGCUGCAGGCACUGGUCUCCAUCUCUCCUCCAUCCAGUCCCCUUCUCUCCUCUCCAUAUUCCUCUUCAUGCCCACUCUACCCCUCUCUUCUUCUCCCCUCAACCUCGCUCCCUCUCCCUAACCCCACACCUCUCUCCCCCUUUUUCCAGCCCACACCCCAAUAGGUACGCCUCCAUCCCCUCUUGGCAGCUCUAUCUCCUCCUCACCUCCCCCCUCUCCUCCCUCUCCCUGGUUGGUUUCCACAGCUGUGGUGAGUGAGGGGCAGAUGACCGGAGAAUUGGCCCCUGGGAGAGCGCUGAGCCAUCCUGGUGCUAUUAGGCUCGUGGCUAAUAAUAGGUGUUUCAGACCAGGGGAAGAUCAAUCAGGGGGAAUCAUGGGGAAUGUUCAGAGCAGCGCUUUUUACACAUCGGCCCAGAUGGAUGAAAUUACACUUGUCAGUUUUUAGUUGCAUUACUCCCAAAUUGGUUGUCUACUCUUUUUUUUUCUCUCUCCCUCCCUCCCUCACUCGCUCUCUAUUCUCUCCUUUCUCUCUCUUUGCCCUCAUUCAUGUGUCAGCGGCCUGCUAAAGGGAUUCAAUGGUGAAAUCCCUGUCAUUUUUGUCUUUUCCCUGUUUAGCCCCCAGCCAGCAACUCUGCUGCCUGCAUAUGCACUUAGAAGAAAUCAGUUUAAGAUGUUGUCUUAUGGCUUGGGCAAUUUCCAUGUUAAAGGCAAGUGUGCAGCUGACAUUUUGUAUGUGCUCUGCAUGUAUAAUAAAACGAUUUGAUUGAGUCAUUCACAAACGAUUAGUCCAUCAACAGAAAAUUAUUCAUCAACUAUUUUGAUAAUCGAUUUGUUCCCAGAUUGUUUUAGCCAAAUUGUUAAAUGUUCACUGACUUCCAAUGUCAGCUGCCUUUGUCUGUUUUAUAUUAUUGUAAACUGAAUAUGUUGGGGGUUUGUAGUGUUGAUCAGACAAAACAAGAUAUUUGAAGAUGUAACCUUGGGGUCUGGGGAACUGUGAUGGACAUUUUUUUUCAAUAUUUUUUUGACAUUUCAAAGGAUUUAUCUAGAAAAUAAAUGGCCUUCCUGGUUCUUGGAGUGUAAAAUAGAUGCUUGGAACUUUAAUGCAUUUCCGAUAUUAAGUUGAUUCACACAAACUUGAACUUAAACCAAACUGAUUAAUGUGCCAAGGACAAUAAUGUUAUUGUGACUGCAGAAAAAUCUUGUCUAAUUGUAAUGUAAUUCAAUCUGUCAUGUGCAAAUGAAACCUUCAGGCUGUAUCUCACUGUGUGAAACUGAAUAAAAUUUACCACACAAAA